rnacentral:misc_RNA from 1 species
GAUGAAGAACGUAGCGAAAUGCGAUAAGUAAUGUGAAUUGCAGAAUUCAGUGAAUCAUCGAAUCUUUGAACGCACAUUGCGCCCGCCAGUAUUCUGGCGGGCAUGCCUGUUCGAGCGUCAUUUCAACCAUCAAGCCCUGCUUGCGUUGGGGUCCUGCGGCUGCCCGCAGGCCCUGAAAACCAGUGGCGGGCUCGCUAGUCACACCGAGCGCAGUAAUACAUCUCGCUUUGGGCGUGCGGCGGGUUCUUGCCGUUAAACACCCCCUUUUUACCAAGGUUGACCUCGGAUCAGGUAGGAAUACCCGCUGAACUUAAGCAUAUCAAUAAGCGGGGA